GUCACUGAUAUGCCUAGUGGAGGUCCGUGCUCACAAGCACAGUCACUGAUAACGCCUAGCGGAGGUCGGCGCUCAUGAGCACAGUCACUGAUAUGCCUAGCGGAGGUCUUAGAAGGGCCCCCAUGUGUCAUUAUCAUACGCUUAUUUGUAAGAGUUUGAGGAUACUUCCCCGACGGCUUCAUUUAUCUGACUGUGGAAAGAGCUUGCAAGCCAGGUCACGAUUGAGAACCCGCGUGGACCCAGCAACCAGACGGCACGCCCACGUGAUCUGCCCUCGAAAGCACCUGCUUUCGAUCCAGAGGGCGAGAGGUGAGGAAGUGUUACCUGUCCAGUGAAACCAACCCCGCCUGUAAUGAGAACAGCACCAGUGCUUGCCGGGGCACGUUCCCUGGGAUGGCGCAGCCACACCUGCAGGGGCUGGAGCCUAUUUUUGCUGCUGGAUGCUGUUCAGCACCCACCCCUCCUGCUUUCCUUGGGAGCCUCCUUCCAGGCCCUUGGAUGACUUGAUGGGACCGUCUCUUGCCACAGGAGCCAGAGGGUCCAGACAGGCCCCUCCCCAAUGACACAGUUAGAAGGGAGGUGGCAUGUGAAUGAACCCUGACCUCUGAGAUGCUCGCUCCUGAAACUGUGACUCUUGAGCUAAGGACACAAGGAAACGCCCCGCUAACUGCUUCUGCCCAGCUGUCUCCAGCACAGCGCCCAGCUCCUCACCUCCAAAAGUGCAUUAGCUCUCUUCUGUCAGCCCACAUUGCUGCAGCUCCCGGCCCUGAUAUCCUAACAGCACUUUCCCUUUGGUGAUUGGCCAGCGGCUUCUGCUGUUUGCAUCUAGAAAAUCCAAAUGACAAAACGGCUCACAGCCUGUUCAAAACGGAGGGCAACGCCACACCUCUAGGAAGGCGACCCCUCCAGGCGGAAGGUUUUCCACGCCGAGCUGUGUUAUAUGUGCAGUCUUCUCCCUAUAACAGAAUAGACUUUGAAAGGAAGAACCAAUGUGAAUGGAACUGAUGCUGGACAGCACAGUUGCAGAUGGUGGACCCCACAGAUCUUCACAUGUGGCAUGAGAGAAACAGCAGUCCCCAAAACUGUGGGGAUGUUUUCCCUUCAGAAAAACCGAACAAGCAAAAUGACUCUGGAACAUAAUGUCACUGGCAAAAAGUACACCCAGAGUCUGUGCAGGGCAGCCUCCUCCGUCCACACACAUUCUCUCUUUAUGUCAACAUCAAAAUUGCUAGAAAAAUGAAUAUGGGCUCAUUCAAAGCCAUUAGCUCCCAUACAACACAGAUGUCGCAAUAGUGAGACUGGUGUGUCCAUGUUGAAUUUCCCCAUGUUUGACUCCAUCACCGUUCAUCAAAGGAAUGUGUCACGGUCCCCGUGCCAUUAAGAAAGUGUUUCUAUUUCACCUCUUCUGUCUGCUCGGGGACUGAACUGCUGUGAGAAAGCUACUCACAGGGCUUUCUCCUGGGAAAGCUACUCCUGCUGCACCUGCAAGCUACUCCUGCUGCACCUGCAAGCACAUAUUACCCCGCAGAACCCUAAACUCCUCCAGUACACACAAAACAAAACAAGACUCCCAACUCUCUCUCGCUAGCCACCUCCACCCCCAGAAUUCAUUGCAGCCAACACAAUGCCAGGCUUCAAAAUGGGGCUGUGGGAUGUUUGUCUAAUUGUCUCCGAAAUACUUGCAUAGAACCAAGGCUCGUGCGGUGGCUCUCGCCUGUAAUCCCAGCACUUUGGGAGGCCGAGGCAUGUGGAUCAUGAAGUCAAGAGAUCGAGACCAUCCUGGCCAACAUGGUGAAACCCUAUCUCUACUAAAAAUACAAAAAUUAGCCAGGCAUGGUGGCGGGCGCCCAUAGUCCCAGCUACUCCGGAGGCUGAGGCAGGAGAAUCACUUGAACCCAGGAGGUGGUGGUUGCAGUGAGCCAAGAUCACGCCACUGCACUCCAGCCUGG
ensembl:lncRNA